rnacentral:rRNA from 1 species
UACGUAGGGGGCGAGCGUUGUCCGGAUUUAUUGGGCGUAAAGAGCUCGUAGGCGGCUUGGCAAGUCGGGUGUGAAACCUCCAGGCUCAACCUGGAGACGCCACUCGAUACUGCCAUGGCUAGAGUCCGGUAGGGGACCACGGAAUUCCUGGUGUAGCGGUGAAAUGCGUAGAUAUCAGGAGGAACACCGAUGGCGAAGGCGGGUCUCUGGGCAGUAACUGACGCUGAGGAGCGAAAGCGUGGGGAGCGAACAGG